rnacentral:misc_RNA from 1 species
CACAACCAUUCCUGCAGACGCAUAGUAUUGUCAGGAGUCAAGAUCUCAAACAUGGGACACCAUCUUCUGUAUAAAUAUAGAACCAGAACAACCAAACCAAAACAACAUACUUCAAGUUGGUCUCGCUGUCCCAGGCUGCUAGCCAAACUCAUAAACCAGCUCACAACCCAACAUAACCAAUCAGCAAAUGUAUAAGUGUAUGCUAAAUUAAUGUUACUGAUCAUAACAUGAUAAUUAUAAUGGCAAACAUGACAGUUAAUAAAUGUAGAAUUUGUGGAAAAAAAAAAUCGAAUGGUCCAUCAUUCUUCAGUUUCAUUUGCCAACUUGAUCUAUUGCUAUAGUGCACAAAGUCUGUAUCAGUCAAGAGAGGUGCUUAUAAAGCUUCUGCUUCUUAUUAUUGUUUGUAAUAGGACCUCAAGCAUAGUCCUAAUGUAAAAGCUCAAAACAAGAUGAUUAACAGCAAGUGUACAAGUCAGUUUACACCAGGUUUGCAGGGCUACAGAUAACUGAUGUACAAGAAGGAUUUGCAUCCUUCACUAUAAUCUUUUAUCAGGAAACUUUUACCAGUACCAUGUGACUGAACAUAUCCUAAAUCUUUAGCAUUCUUCAUGGCCAUAUUAAGUAUUGACACUCACUUAUCAGAAGGUGAAAAAAAGAAAGUACAAAAUUGCUUGACUAAUUUGUUUCUUUGCUCGGUAAGUUGUCUCAUCUCAUAUCCAACCAGAAAGUAUUGCAUACAUAACAGAGAUCCAAAAGAUCAAGGACUCACCUGAAAGUCCAGCAAAAGCAAGGGGAUCAACAGGAACCCCCACACCCUCCACUGCAUAAGGCAAUACAUUUCCAAGGUCA